rnacentral:tRNA from 1 species
GCGCCUGUAGCUCAACUGGAUAGAGCGCUUGGCUACGGACCAUGAGGUUCUGGGUUCGACUCCUAGCAGGCGCACCA